rnacentral:rRNA from 1 species
GUAAGGAAUAUUGGUCAAUGGAGGCAACUCUGAACCAGCCAUGCCGCGUGCAGGAAGACGGCCCUAUGGGUUGUAAACUGCUUUUAUACGGGAAUAAACCCCAUUACGAGUAAUGGGCUGCAUGUACCGUACGAAUAAGGAUCGGCUAACUCCGUGCCAGCAGCCGCGGUAAUACGGAGGAUCCGAGCGUUAUCCGGAAUUAUUGGGUUUAAAGGGUGCGUAGGCGGCAUGCUAAGUCAGGGGUGAAAGACGGUGGCUCAACCAUCGCAGUGCCUUUGAUACUGGUGUGCUUGAAUGUACAUGAGGUAGGCGGAAUGAGACAAGUAGCGGUGAAAUGCAUAGAUAUGUCUCAGAACACCGAUUGCGAAGGCAGCUUACUAAAGUAUGAUUGACGCUGAGGCACGAAAGCGUGGGGAUCGAACAGGAUUAGAUACCCCAGUAGUCC